UACGUAGGGGGCAAGCGUUGUCCGGAAUUAUUGGGCGUAAAGCGCGCGCAGGCGGCCAGAUAAGUCCGCUGUGAAAUCUCGAGGCUCAACUUCGAGCUGUCGGUGGAAACUGUCUGGCUAGAGUCCGGAAGAGGAGAAUGGAAUUCCUGGUGUAGCGGUGAAAUGCGCAGAUAUCAGGAAGAACACCCGUGGCGAAGGCGGUUCUCUGGGACGGUACUGACGCUGAGACGCGAAAGCGUGGGGAGCGAACAGG
rnacentral:rRNA from 1 species